rnacentral:rRNA from 1 species
UGUCCUUAGUACGAGAGGACCGGGAUGGACGCACCGCUGGUGCACCAGUUGUCACGCCAGUGGCACAGCUGGGCAGCUAUGUGCGGAUCGGAUAAACGCUGAAAGCAUCUAAGCGUGAAGCCGGCUCCAAGAUUAGAUAUCCCAUCGAUUUAUUCGAGUAAGACCCCUUGUAGACUACGAGGUUGAUAGGCUGCGUGUGUAAGUGCCGUGAGGCAUUCAGCUUGGCAGUACUAAUCGGUCGAGGGCUUGACCAU